rnacentral:rRNA from 1 species
GACGAACGCUGGCGGCGUGCUUAACACAUGCAAGUCGAACGGAAAGGCCCUGCUUUUGUGGGGUGCUCGAGUGGCGAACGGGUGAGUAACACGUGAGUAACCUGCCCUUGACUUUGGGAUAACUUCAGGAAACUGGGGCUAAUACCGGAUAGGAGCUCCUGCUGCAUGGUGGGGGUUGGAAAGUUUCGGCGGUUGGGGAUGGACUCGCGGCUUAUCAGCUUGUUGGUGGGGUAGUGGCUUACCAAGGCUUUGACGGGUAGCCGGCCUGAGAGGGUGACCGGCCACAUUGGGACUGAGAUACGGCCCAGGCUCCUACGGGAGGCAGCAGUGGGGAAUAUUGCACAAUGGGCGGAAGCCUGAUGCAGCAACGCCGCGUGCGGGAUGACGGCCUUCGGGUUGUAAACCGCUUUCGCCUGUGACGAAGCGCGAGUGACGGGAAUGGGUAAAGAAGCACCGGCUAACUACGG